rnacentral:rRNA from 1 species
UACAGAGGGUGCGAGCGUUGUUCGGAAUCACUGGGCGUAAAGCGCGCGCAGGCGGUCCUGCAAGUCUGAAGUGAAAUCUCGUCGCUCAACGACGGGGCUGCUUUGGAAACUGCGGGUCUGGAGAUCGGUAGAGGCUGGUGGAAUUGCAGGUGUAGCGGUGGAAUGCGUAGAGAUCUGCAAGAACACCCGUGGCGAAGGCGGCCAGCUGGGCCGAAUCUGACGCUGAGGCGCGAAAGCGUGGGGAGCAAAC